UUGGGCACUUUAGGGGGACUGCCGGUGACAAACCGGAGGAAGGUGGGGACGACGUCAAGUCAUCAUGGCCCUUACGACCAGGGCUACACACGUGCUACAAUGGAGCGUACAAAGGGUUGCAACCUCGCGAGAGUGAGCUAAUCCCACAAAACGUUUCGUAGUCCGGAUCGCAGUCUGCAACUCGACUGCGUGAAGUCGGAAUCGCUAGUAAUCGUGAAUCAGAAUGUCACGGUGAAUACGUUCCCGGGCCUUGUACACACCGCCCGUCACACCAUGGGAGUGGGUUGCAAAAGAAGUGGGUAGCAUAACCUUCGGGAGUGCGCUCACCACUUUGUGAAUUCAUGACUGGGGUGAAGUCGUAACAAGGU
rnacentral:rRNA from 1 species